GUUAAUCGGGGCAGGGUGAGUCGACCCCUAAGGCGAGGCCGAAAGGCGUAGUCGAUGGGAAACAGGUUAAUAUUCCUGUACUUGGUGUUACUGCGAAGGGGGGACGGAGAAGGCUAUGUUGGCCGGGCGACGGUUGUCCCGGUUUAAGCGUGUAGGCUGGUUUUCCAGGCAAAUCCGGAAAAUCAAGGCUGAGGCGUGAUGACGAGGCACUACGGUGCUGAAGCAACAAAUGCCCUGCUUCCAGGAAAAGCCUCUAAGCAUCAGGUAACAUCAAAUCGUACCCCAAACCGACACAGGUGGUCAGGUAGAGAAUACCAAGGCGCUUGAGAGAACUCGGGUGAAGGAACUAGGCAAAAUGGUGCCGUAACUUCGGGAGAAGGCACGCUGAUAUGUAGGUGAAGUCCCUCGCGGAUGGAGCUGAAAUCAGUCGAAGAUACCAGCUGGCUGCAACUGUUUAUUAAAAACACAGCACUGUGCAAACACGAAAGUGGACGUAUACGGUGUGACGCCUGCCCGGUGC
rnacentral:rRNA from 1 species